UGAGGAUCCUUGUUCAUUCCAAUGGGGGGAAGGUCCCAUGUAAUUUGCAAGUGGUGAUAAGGCUUUCUUGUUGAAUUCAACUUUGGUGGGAGAUUCUGCCAUGGAUGAUUACAGUAGUACCAAAGCAAGGUUGCAAUAGGUUGGAAGUUGGGGAAAGAAUGGAGGUGUCUUCAAGAGUUGGUGGGAGCGUAGGGAGGAAUGAUGUGUUGCGUGAAAAUAUGGGAGAAAGCAUAUCCAUCAAGGGGCCAAAGAAGUUUGAAGCAGGAGUAAGGG
rnacentral:lncRNA from 1 species